rnacentral:rRNA from 1 species
AAUUUUUACAAUGAAGAGUUUGAUCCUGGCUCAGGAUGAACGCUAGCGGCAGGCUUAACACAUGCAAGUCGAGGGGCAGCGAGGGUAGCAAUACCUGUCGGCGACCGGCGCAAGGGUGCGUAACGCGUGAGCAACAUGCCCGUAUCAGGGGGAUAAUCCAGGGAAACUUGGUCUAAUACCCCAUAGUAAUAUUUUCAGGCAUCUGGGGAUAUUUAAAGCUUUGGUGGAUACGGAUUGGCUCGCGUGACAUUAGCUGGAUGGUAGGGUAACGGCCUACCAUGGCUACGAUGUCUAGGGGUUCUGAGAGGAAGAUCCCCCACACUGGAACUGAGACACGGUCCAGACUCCUACGGGAGGCAGCAGUGAGGAAUAUUGGACAAUGGAUGGAAAUCUGAUCCAGCCAUGCCGCGUGCAGGAAGACGGCCCUAUGGGUUGUAAACUGCUUUUAUACGGGAGCAAUAAGGUCUAUGCGUAGGCCGAUGAGAGUACCGUAGGAAUAAGCACCGGCUAACUCCGUGCCAGCAGCCGCGGUAAUACGGAGGGUGCAAGCGUUAUCCGGAUUUAUUGGGUUUAAAGGGUGCGUAGGCGGUCUAUUAAGUCAGCGGUGAAAGUUUUCAGCUUAACUGGAAAAAUGCCGUUGAUACUGAUAGGCUAGAAUAUGGUUGCUGUGGGUGGAAUGUGUGGUGUAGCGGUGAAAUGCUUAGAUAUCACACAGAAUAUCAAUUGCGAAGGCAGCUCACAAAGCCAUUAUUGACGCUGAGGCACGAAAGUGUGGGGAUCAAACAGGAUUAGAUACCCUGGUAGUCCACACCGUAAACGAUGAUAACUCGCUGUCGGCGAUAAACAGUCGGUAGCCAAGCGAAAGCGAUAAGUUAUCCACCUGGGGAGUACGACCGCAAGGUUGAAACUCAAAG